rnacentral:misc_RNA from 1 species
AACCUUAUGGACCUGCGGGCGUAUACCUGCGGAGGGAUCAUUACAUUCAGUAGCCUAGCUACUUGUUUACACCCUUGUUUUUUUGCGCACUUCACUGUAUCCCUCGGCGGGCUUGCUCGCCGGUUGGACAACAUUUAUAACCUUUUUUAAUCUUCAAUCAGCGUCUGAAUUAUAUUUAAUAAUUACAACUUUCAACAACGGAUCU